GCCUUCGUGGUAUAAUUAGAAGCAUACUCGACGUGUUUUCGAGAGGGCCAGGGUUCGAAUCCUGGCGAGGGCA
rnacentral:tRNA from 1 species